GGGACCAUUGUUUACAAAGCCCAUUGUUACCAAAUACAAGUACAAAGUAUUCACUGACCAUAGCACUAGUUCCAUUUAUGUUGUUGAAAAA